UNCGAUUGUACUUCUUCUCUGCCUCUUAGU
rnacentral:piRNA from 1 species